rnacentral:rRNA from 1 species
GACGAACGCUGGCGGCGUGCCUAAUACAUGCAAGUAGGACGCAGUUGCGAACGGGUGAGUAACGCGUAGGUAACUACCUAUUAGAGGGGGAUAACUAUUGGCAACGAUAGCUAAUACCGCAUACUAGUAGAUGGAACUGCGUUGUAUUGGCUAGUAGGUGGGGUAAUGGCCUACCUAGGCAACGAUACAUAGCCGAAAGGGGACGGGGAUCGGCCAGACUGGGACUGCGACACGGCACAGACUGCCACGGGAAGCAGCAGUAGGGAAUCGUCGGCAAUGGGGGGAACACUGACCGAGAAACGGCGCGGGAGUGAAGAGGGUUUUCGGGUCGUAAAGCUCUGUUGUUAAGGAAGCGGUACUUAACCAGAAAGGGACGGCUAACUACGUGCCAGCAGCCGCGGUAAUUC